CCACCUCCUGGGUUCAGGCGAUUCUCAUGCCCCUGUUAGCCGAGUAGCUAGGAUUGCAGGCGCGCGCUACUACACCUGGCUAAUUUUUUGUAUUUUUAGUAGAGUUUCACCAUGUUGAUCAGGCUGGUCUUGAACUCCUGACCUCAAGUGAUCCACCCACCUGGGCCUUCUAGAAUACUGGGAUUACAGACGUGAGCCACAGCACCUGGCCUGAGAACUCUGUUUUUUUAAUGAUAAAGCACCAAAGUAUUUUUAGGUCUUUUGUUACACCAAAUGAUAUUGUUCACAAUUUUGACCAGUCCAAAUUCUCUUUUCCUUACCUUCAACUCCCUAUUUUCCAUGUGUCACAAAUACAAAUGUAAUAUGCUUUAAAACAUGUGAAUACACACACCUUUAUUGAGGAACUGAGAAUUUGAAACCACUUACACCACUACAGAACUAACUUACACUACUACAGAAAGAAUAGAGACUCUUUAGAAUACAGACAUGCUGCAAUUCUCUGUUUUAAGAAAUAGACAUUCUUCAUACAUGAUGUGUUUACUAAUGAAUUGAUGUAUUCUGGGUAGGGGCGUCACAUCCAGAAAAAAAAAACCACGCUAAUUUUGAUUGGAGAUUGUUUUAGAAUCAGGGAUUGUACUGGCCUAGGUACAAUUAUGCUGUCAUUGAUAAGCAACUAUGGAAGUCUUUAAAAAUCCUUUUUUUUUUUUUUUUUUUUUGAGGUAAGGUCUUCCUCUAUCGCCCUCCUUGGAGUGCAGUGGUUUUGAAUAUGGCUCACUGCAGCCUUGACCUCCCAGGCUCAAGCGAUCCUCCUGCCUCAGCCUCUUGUCUAGCUGGAACCACAGGCAUGCACUGCCAUGCCUAGCUUUUUUUUUUUUUUUUUUUUCCUUGAGACGGAGCCUCACUCUGUAUCCCAGGCUGGAGUACAGUGGUGCGAUCUUGGCUCACUGCAGCCUCUGCUUCCCUGGUCAAAUGAUUCUCAUGCCUCAGCUUCUGGGUAUCUGUGACUUCACAUGCCAUCACACCCAGCUAAUUUUUGUAUUUUUAGCAGAGACAGGGUUUCGCCACGUUGGCCAAGCUGUUCUUGAACUCCUGACCUCAGGUCAUCCACCCGCCCUGGUCUCUCAGUGUGCUGGGAUUAUAGGCAUGAACCACCAUGCCUGGCCACCAGCUGAUUUUUAAAAAUUAUUUUUGGAGAGACAGGUUCUCACUUUAUUGCCCUGGCUGGUCUCAAAUUCCUGGCCUCAAGUGAUCCUCCUACCUUGGCCUCCCAAAGUGCUGGGAUUACAGGUAUGAGCCACUGUGCCCAGCUGACAAAUUCUUAAAUACAGAAUUAUUUUUAGUUUAGCCUCAAAAUCAAGUAUUUGAUGUGUUUACAUGUAGAUUCAUUUUAAAUGCAGAAAUUCACAUAUUGAAAACAACACAAUUGAAAACUAAUUUUAUCUCACUGUAACAAGUGCAUUAGAGACAUAUAUAUAUUUGCACAAAUGUUGCUAUUCUCUUUGCAGAGUUGGUCAAACGCCAUGCUGGGGUGCUAGGACUUGGUGCAUGUGUUCUUUCUAGUCCUUACGAUGUUCCCACCUGGAUGCCCCAGCUCCUCAUGAAUCUCAGUGCACAUCUAAAUGAUCCUCAGCCUAUUGAGGACUCACCAUGACAACUGGCAGGAACAUAAACAGCAAUUCACUGAUGACCAACUGCUUGUUCUCACCGAUCUUCUUGUGUCACCAUGCUAUUAUGCAUAGAAAGAUGACUAGUCCUCACUUCAGGCUCUUUUCAUCAAAAAUUCCACACCCUCAGGUACCAUCUGUGGUGGCUCUCUGCAAGUUUUAAAACUGCCUCUGCUGAGCUCUCAUCAUUUUGGUGGUUUCUGUGUUAGAUCUCGUUAGUCUGCAUUCCACAGCUUCUCAGUUGCCAUUUGAUUUCCCAACUUGUCCGGAAGUGUUUCCAGAAUACUGAUCACUUUUUUUUUUUGAGGCAUCUGACAAAGUCACAAAGUCUCAGACUAGAAAUAAUUACCCAGUAUGAUCAUGGCAUCCAAGACCAGAGUCUCAGAACUCAUUAAGAAACAGUUUACUUGGAAUGGAGAAUACCCAUCUGUAAUACAGGUCCUGUCAUUUCAUUCAUCUCAAAUUAUUUUGAAUUCUUCCCAAAUGGCUGCUGGAUUUAGGUGGUAAUAGGGGCUGUGGGCCAUAAAUCUGAAGCCUUGAGAACCUUGGGUCUGGAGAGCCAUGAAGAGGGAAGGAAAAGAGGGCAAGUCCUGAACCUAACCAAUGACCUGAUGGAUUGCUCGACCAAGACACAGAAGUGAAGUCUGUGUCUGUGCACUUCCCACAGACUGGAGUUUUUGGUGCUGAAUAGAGCCAGUUGCUAAAAAAUUGGGGGUUUGGUGAAGAAAUCUGAUUGUUGUGUGUAUUCAAUGUGUGAUUUUAAAAAUAAACAGCAACAACAAU
rnacentral:lncRNA from 10 species